UGUUUACAGUCAGUGUGUUUUAAAUGGCUAUUCGUGUGAGGAUAUAUUUUGAAUGGUAUUUGUUAACAACACUAUUCAGAGGGUGGCUUAAUCGGUUGGCAGCGGUUAGAUAAUGAGCAUCAUAAUAAGAACUAGAUUGGUUCUCAAUGUGUUGUGUUAAAGGGAGGAGAACUGGCAGUGGUAUAGACUGAUGAUAUGUUGAUUCAAGUCAGGUCAUGCUAUCAGAGUUACGCAAUGUCAGCUCACAGCGGCUAGGUGAUAGGAGAGUAGGAUCGGCCUGAAUUGAUCUCAUGUCUGGGGAAGGCACACCGUGGCACAGUGGGAUAGCCAGUGGUUGGAGACUAACACUGAGUCAGAGCAAAGCUGUCAAUCACUCCUCAGUGAUGACACUGACAGCAGUCCAGAGGGUCUCACGCCCAGCGGUUCCCUCGGUGACGUGUCCCGCCCCCACAGACCCUUCGCCAGCCGACAGAUCCACGGUGUCCCCCUGUCGCCGUACCUCAACUCCAGCCCCUCCGGGUCCUUCAGCGACAUCCCCGUCGUCCUCAUCAACGGAGCGCCAGAGGCCAGCCUCAGGGUCCACCCCCACGGCCAGUGCAUGAGGAGCACGUCCAGGUCACCCUCGCCCCAGGACACACCCACAUAUGCGGACAGGAGGCCGUUUCACGGUAAGGUUAUGGAGCCAUUCCAGAUCCAAAGUCAAGGUUUCAUGUCUAAUCCAGUUACGUGAGGCUUGUUGCGAUGUAAAACACUGCUAGUUCAUUGUUCUUUAGGCCAAAUCUGAGGGACUGAAAUCCAUUUAAGGUAAAUCUAUAUGAUAUUUAUGAGUGGAAUGUGGUGUGAAGUUGUAAUGGGGCUGGCAUACUCCUUCAGUAAAGGUGGAUCAUUAUUUUAACUGAAUACGACUUUGUCCUCGUCUUUCAGGCAGCCAACCCAACAUGAAAUUUGUCAUGGACACCUCCCAGUACUGGUUUCAGCCACAAAUCUCCCGAGAAGAAGGUGAGCUCCUUCAUGAUCUUAGCUGUUCCUUAUCCAACAGAACCCCAGAGGGUGUAUGUUA
rnacentral:lncRNA from 1 species